rnacentral:rRNA from 1 species
AUGACGCCUCCUCAAUGCGUCGCUGCCUCCGGACGUGACGCCGGUCUCCUCCGCGACCCCUUACUGCCACCAUCCUCCUCUUCGCCUCUAGCUGCCCAGAUGCCUGACGGCAGCGGUAGCGUGCCUAUCAUUCAUGGGCGGCUAGACGUCCAGAUUCAUCUCUCUCUCUCUCUCUCUCUCUCUCUCUCUCUCUCUCUCAGCAAGCAAACCAUGAAGGAUUUGGGACUGCUUGGGCGUCGAACAAAAAACCAUGAAAGAUCUGGAUUUACAUUGUUUUAUCAUGGUAUGGUGUUCUUUAUUUUCGCAGGAAGUGCUCCAGUGGAAACACAUCUCAAAUUCCAGGUGUGCAACCAUCUAUUAUUGUUGAUUUUAAGGUUCCUGCAAAUUUGGUUUAAGAGAUGUCUACGUCUAGCUGGGCUCCAAGAAAGGAGAUUCUUUGUUGUCCUUUUAGGUUUGUUGGCUACCUCGGUUAAGUUUUUGCAUGUGAAUUUUUGUUUGUUCCUAUCCAAUAGAUGCUCAUAUCUAGCUAGAUUCGUAGGAUGUUUUGUUGCCUUUCUUAGUUUGUUUGGUACUUUCUUCUUUCUUUGGCGAUGA